rnacentral:rRNA from 1 species
CCUACGGGAUGCAGCAGUGGGGAAUAUUGCACAAUGGGGGCAACCCUGAUGCAGCGACGCCGCGUGAGUGAAGAAGUAUCUCGGUAUGUAAAGCUCUAUCAGCAGGGAAGAAAAUGCCGGUACCUGACUAAGAAGCCCCGGCUAACUACGUGCCAGCAGCCGCGGUAAUACGUAGGGGGCAAGCGUUAUCCGGAUUUACGUGGUGUACAGGGAGCGUAGACGGCGCUGCAAGUCCGGAGGGAAAGCCCAUGGCGUAACCAUGGUACUGCUCUGGAAACUGUGGAGCUUGAGUGCGGGAGGGGCAGGCGGAAGUCCUAGUGUAGCGGUGAAAUGAGGAGAUAUUAGGAGGAACACCGGCGGCGAAGGCGGCCUGCUGGACCGUAACUGACGUUGAGGCUCGAACGCGUGGGGAGCAAACAGGAUUAGAGACCCUUGUAGUC